GUGACCUUCCUCAUCUCAAACUUUUGCAUCUAUGCCCACAUGAAUAGGAGUAUUAUAUUCAAGUAUAAAAAUUCAUACUCGGAGAACAAGCUUAUAAGUGCAUUCACCUCUGUCUACCUCCAACCAUUUUCAUUAAGCGUUUAGAUGAACUUGCUUUCUUUGAUUUCGAAUGCAAGCAAAAAAAUAUAUCUGUGUCUUAACUUCAAAUACAAAUAAAUUUCAACUAAUCUUAUUUUAUUCAAUAGCGUUAAUGAGAAACAUUUGAACUUUGUUACUUGCAAUAUGUCACAUGAUUCUAAUCAUGUGAUUGAUACUUUAGCUAAUUAGGAUAUGUGUUCAAGUGUUUUAAAGUCAAAUAUGAGAUUUUUAUCCUUAAGUCAUCAUAGAAAAAUUUAUGAAAAAUUCUUUGAUGAUGUCUUCAACUUUGUUGUCUCUUACUUUUUAUAUUCAUACUUCAUCCAAAAGAAAAAUUAUAGGAUUUAACUUGCUAUAUUUUUUGACCACUAUGUUUUGCUUUAUUUAUUCGUAACAUGAAUAUAAUGAUAUUUUUGUCCAACCCAAUAUUUAAAAUAAAAAAUAUAAUCAACUUUAAGUGACAUUUGAAGACAUAAGCAAAUUCUUUUUUUUAAUUCUUAUAAUUUCUUUUCAUUUUUAGUUUCUGUAAUAUUUAUUUUAUCUAUUUUAAGUUUUCAUAAAAUUCUUUUUAUAUUAUUUUAGUCUCAUUAAUUUCAUUGUGAAAAUGACGGCAAAUUUCCCCAUCUGGGGUACUUUUAAAAAGUAUUUCCCCAGAUGGGGUUCUUUUGCUUUUAUUUCCGGCAGGGGGCACUUUUGUACGUGAACAGCGUGCCAUGCAGGACCCAAACCGCCAUUGGCAAUGGCGAGUUUGGUGUCACUGAGCAAGUCGCUAAUGGCACUGGCGAUACGUGCCUAAACCGCCAUUAGAGCUGGCGAUAUGCACAAGCCAUAGGGAACCGCUAGUCAAACUGGCGAGUUCCAAUAACUGAGGGCAGCAGGCCUAGUUCCUGCCAUGGCAGUGCAGCAGAGAGGAAAUCGCCAUUGUUGCAGGCGAUUUGCAGAGAGGAAAUCGCCAUUGGUGCAGGCGAUUUGCAGGUGCAGGGAUUCAAAAUUUUUUUUAUAAAACGCGAGAUAUGCAUGCUUCGUAUGCAUGCUUUCUUCUUCUUCUUAUGCAUGCUUUCUUCUUCUUCUUCUUCUGCUUAUCUUCCUCAUUGGUUAUCUUCUUCUGCUUAUCUUCCUCACACGAGAUAUUGAGCUUCCAUUGCAUUGUUUCUUCUUCUGUUGGUAUUAGGUGUUUUUGUGAAGUUUUGAAUCUUACUUCCGCUGUCCUAACACUACACUGUGUAUUCUCCAUACGUGCUUUGGAUUGCUAUUCUUAAUACGCGCUUCCGGGGGAACCCCUGUAGGUGCAACUUGUUUGAUUAAAUCCUUGAGUUUCUCCAUGCCACAUCCCGAAGGAAUGUCAAAUCUUAUUGGAUUAGUUCCAGUAAAGGAGUAACCCAAAAACUCACCUUGACGUGGUAUGUUCCACUUCCCGUUGUAAUACAUAAUUGCAUCAUGAGUAGGAGUGAUGAUUGAUUGAAGCAGAUUGAGUAUAGCAUCCGGUGUUCUAAUAAUGGUACAUAAUAAUUCUAUAGGGCCAACACACGAGUAUUGGUCAUUGCACAUUAACAUUGUGUAAACAUCAUCAUCAUUUUUCAAUUGUAAAGAUUGAAAAAAAUAUUGUUGACCUGCAUCUAUGAAUGGCUGUCGGUAGUAGAUUUCAUCCAGUAAUUGAUCGUUGGUUAGUUGAAGGGUGUUGUGCAUUCUACGCUUGAGUGUAUCAAAAGAACAGUUGUUAGGAACUCGCAUUGGUGUUGGAAUAAGACUUUGAAAAUAAACACCAGUUUGGUUGUAACUGAUUGAUCCAUUUGGAAAAAUGAAAGCUAAUCUGGAGUUAGUAAUGGUCUGACUGCUUGUUUCUCCCAAAAUGACAUAGUAAUAAGAUUGAAUUUGGUUUGUGAAAUUAUGUUGUGUGAGAUUGUGUGUUUGUAUUGUGUCUGUGUUGUGUUAUUUAUAGUUGUAUGAGUAUUCUGUCACGUUGAUGUGUAUUGGAAUCCAAUGUUUCUUUUUCCCUAGUAAGUGAUGUAGCAGACGUCCAUUAUAAUUUCAGAGUGAACAAAGAGAUUAUGAGUUGUCCAUCUCAUGUCAGUUUUGCACACGUCUCUAAAAAUUAAAUGUAUCACUUGUAAAACUGACAUGAAAUGGACAGCUCAUAAUGCAGAGUGUUGUUAUUUUGGACUGUGAUUUUUCCCAUGUAAUUAAAGCAACAGACGUUCAUGAUGAAUUUCAGAGUGAAUAAAGAGAUGACGGGCUGUCCAUUUCAUGACAGUUUUGCAGGUGAGACAUUUAAUUUUUAGAGACGUUUGCAAAUUGCAGAGUAUUGUCAAUUUGGAUUGUGAUUUUUCCCUUGUAAUUAAAGCAGCAAACGUCCAUAGUUAUUUUCAGAGUGAAUAAAGAGAUUAUGAGUUGUCCAUUUCAUGACAGUUUUGCAGGUGAGACAUUUAAUUCUUAGAGACGUAUGCAAAUUGCAGAGUAUUGUCAAUUUGGAUUGUGAUUUUUUCCUUGUAAUUAAAGCAGCAAACGUCCAUAGUUAUUUUUAGAGUGAAUAAAGAGAUUAUGAGUUGUCCAUUUCAUGUCAGUUUUGUCGAUGAGACAUUGAAUUUUUAAAAACAGUGUAGUGUAAAUGACAAAGUAUUGUGAAUUUUGACAGUUAUGUUACCAUGUCAACUACUGCAGUAAAAGUGGGUAAACUGAAAAUUGCUAAUUUAAAUUUAAAGGAAAAAUUAUUUCAAUACGUAAAGUGAUAACUGAAGACAGACAUAAGACAUUACAUGAAAAUCUCAAAGAAGAAAUAUAGGUUCGUGGGAUGGAGACAGGUUACUUCCUUCGGGCCCGGAAGAGGAGUCUGUAUCACUAUCAUGGUUUUUGAGCCAACAAGUCUCGUAUUCACCUAAGUCCUCAAGAUUAGAGGUUGAGCCAUGUUGGUUGCCUGGUGGGUCAUUAUUGUGACAGAUUAUGGCAAAUAACUCCACAAAUGGUAGUGAUGGGUUAUUGUAAAAAAUGUUGAACAUUUGUCGAACAUCAGCAUCAUCUCGCAGAAUAAAAGAUGUGUACAUAUAACGUUGUCCUGACUCAAAUAUAGGGCACCGAAAAUGGAGAUGUUGGAUAUGUUGUUUUGGGUCAAUGUUUAGUUUUUGGUGAACAAGUUCAAGCAAUUGUGUAAAGGUUAUGACCUUGUCGACCAUGAAAGUUUUUGUGUUGUUACUAACGAAGGUGGUGCCCUCAUUAGUAUUGCAAAUUUGGCCGUCGUAGUAAACACAAACAUAUGCAGUUAGGUGACAUAUUGUGGUAGGGAUUGAGAUGAAAAUUUGAAAUUGUUACGAAUGUCUUUAGCUGUAGUGGUAUUUAUAGAAUUUGGUUAUAAUUGAGUGAGUCACUAGUUAACUGUGCAUUUAGAUGAACGAGUAAAUGAACACUUAAGCAUAUUUACAAGGGUCCAUAAUGUGCAAAUUGUUGAGUGAAAAAAACAACUGAGUGAAAAAAAACUGAGUUGUCCACGUCAUGUCAGUUUUACUGGUGCGACAUUAAUUUUUUUAGAGAUGUGUGAAAAUUGCCGAGUGUUGUCAAUUUCAUCUGUGAUUUAUCCCUGGUAAUUGAUGGAGUAGAAGUCCAUUAUAAUUAUCAGAGUGAAAAAAAUUGAGUUGUCCAUGUCAUGUCUGUUUUACUAGUGCGACAUUUAUUUUUUUAGAGACGUGUGUAAAUUGCUGAGUGUUGUCAAUUUUAACUGUGAUUUAUCUCUGGUAA